UUAUUUAUUUCAAUAAUGACUGAAGAUAUACAUAACCAUUUGGAUGUUAAUCCUUGUUUUUGAUUUAAAUGUUGGGCUUUAAUGUAGGCAACUGAAGUUCAAAUAUCUCCUUAAGUUUAAGAACUCCAUGGUAAUUUUAGAAAAGGCUUCAUUUCUUAGUUUAAUCCACUUUGCAAAAGAUGGAGAGAUUGAACAUUGUGGAAGGACAACAGAAAACAAUACAGCUGUUAACAUGGGGAUCAUCAGGAAAAGCCUGGCAUAGAGAUCUUUUAUUUUAUAUCAUAUUCUUCAUACUGUUGCAUAUUUAUAUGCAAUAUUGCACACAAACAUGAAAAACUGAAGUCUUAUUGCUAUAGUAAAAUAAAUUUAAAUAAGAAUUAGGUCAUUGCUUAAGGUUUCCAGAAAAGGAUAGCUUAGAAAAACAAAAGUUAAAACGAGAUGAGAGAGAUACAAAUAUAACAUUGUAGUAUAGUACUUUAUUUUCCCCUUUCUUGUUAUUCCUGGGGAUUCAGAGUAGGCCCUGUUUCAAAACAUUGAUUACACUCCAAAUAAAUCACCUCCACAAUGUAGAAAGAGCAAUAGACACAGCUGGAAGUUCUCUCUACAGAUUUCUCUGCCACAGAGCGAUCUUCAAAGAAAGUUCCAGCUGUGCAUGUUGUUUCUUUUACUCAGUUUAUCUGGAUUGCAGCCAGUAUCUACAGGAGGAAAGUGAGACACCAAUGAUCUUUUGUUUUUACUGAACCCUAAAUACUAAAGCAGCCUGUUUUUAAAAUAAAUCUACAAGUAGUCUCUGCUGGUUUUCUCUGGGAACUAGUUGGGUGUGCAGCAUCUUCAAUUUUACAGAUGACCUUA